rnacentral:rRNA from 1 species
GAUGAACGCUGGCGGCGUGCCUAAUACAUGCAAGUCGAGCGAACAGACGAGAGUGCUUGCACUCUCUGACGUUAGCGGCGGACGGGUGAGUAACACGUGGGUAACCUACCUAUAAGACUGGGAUAACUUCGGGAAACCGGAGCUAAUACCGGAUAAUAUUUAGCUUCGCAUGAAGCAAUAGUGAAAGACGGUUCUGCUGUCACUUAUAGAUGGACCCGCGGUGUAUUAGCUAGUUGGUGAGGUAACGGCUCACCAAGGCAACGAUACAUAGCCGACCUGAGAGGGUGAUCGGCCACACGGGGACUGAGACACGGCCCAGAGUCCUACGGGAGGCAGCAGUAGGGAAUCUUCCGCAAUGGACGAAAGUCUGACGGAGCAAUGCCGCGUGAGUGAAGAAGGUUUUCGGAUCGUAAAACUCUGUUGUAAGGGAAGAACAAGUACGUUAGUAACUGAACGUACCUUGACGGUACCUGACCAGAAAGCCACGGCUAACUACGUG